rnacentral:lncRNA from 1 species
GAGAAAUAGCUGAAUUAGAAAAGAAAGAUAUGGAUAGAUGCUCUUAGGAGGAAAACCUUUUUAGAAUGGCAAUGACUGCUUGGAUCUAGGUCAACAGAUUCCAAAAUGUGUGACCUUGUGUUUGUGUUUACUGAACUCACUCUAGAAAAUUCUGGACCCAAUUCAUUAACCCUCCUUUUCUUUAAUGUGUACUGAAGCUGAGCUGGAUGAUGAGGGAAUUCAUUGCUGACUGUUGCUCAUCACUUUCCCUCAAAGUCAGAAUUUUUCAGUAUAAAAAUAAUUAGCUUUUAACUGAUUAUUAAUUUUCUUUAGUACUGUGAAAACUUGUCUGAAAUUCGUGUUGUGCCAGAUUGGAAAUACCUACUGUAAUAUGGUGCAUUCAUUUUACCCCGUAAGUGGUUUAACAUUUUAGGUCCUAGAUUUUUAAUGUCCUGUCUUUGUGUAAACAUCACUUUGGGGAGUACCGAGAUGAUUCAUUAUUCAGUGAUGAUUUUCUUGAAAGAUAACUAUGAUGAUUGGCUGUAAAAUCUUCAGCCUAAUAAGGAGUGAGAUCUCUGUGUGAACAGCCUUCUGAGGGACUGAUAAUAGAAUAGAACUUGUAGCCAAAGGCUUUUCCCUUUUGAGAAGACGGUAUCUGUGUAGGGAGUGCUAAGGUAGACUUCAUUGUAUAUUGAGGGCCAUAUUCUGAUGCAACAAUCAUAACAAAAUCAAAAGCUCAUGCUUCAGCAAAAAGGAAAAAAGAUCUUUAAAUUACUUUGUCUGUUACUGCUCAUAGAGAACUAUAUAAAAUGGUCCCAUUUUCUCAUUUCUGGUGGUGCCUGUGAGUCUUAAAGCCAUAUCUGCUUAUCUUACUGUUGAUAGAAUACUUUUUUCUUUUUAGCCCAUGGUAAGUAAUAUGGGCAGGUAGAAGCAAACUGGAGACUGUCCUGUUAAUGCUGCAUGGGGCACAGUGUCAUUCAAAUUAUUGGUGGAAGAAUCUCUUUUAUCCAUGGUGAGAGGUAAGAAUAUUAAAGGAAAGAGUCAGGAUAUUGUUGCUCCUGGUAUUUAACAACUGUCAUUAGAAAUGCUGAAAUUUAAUUCUAGAGAAGUCAAGAAAGAAGGAGUAAACUGAGAAAAUCUUACUACUGCAGAGUAACUUUUACAAUGAGACCUGCACUUUAUGCCAGCGCUGUUUGUGAGGAGCAGUACUGCCUUAAAUUAGUUUGACUCUGACCGAUGUCAGUGUACGUUCCUUCCUUUAUGUGACUGACAGUCAACUUUCCAUUGAGAUCUAACAUUCACAGAUGAUCCCCAAGCAUCCUUGUCAUCAGAAGCUUUGGACCUUUUCUGCCACUGACUUAUGGCUGAUCUGUUACACAAUAAAUACAUAAUUUUAUUUCAUGUUGUCUGUCAACCUCUGAAUAAACAGUGGCAUGACCAAAAAGACUGGUAGAAGGAGAGAGAAUUUCCUGGCCAAAUCCUUCAUACCAGGUGGCCACUUCUUGAGUAAUUGAGAGUUGACUGUCUUCUAUGGUGACGAUAUAGAAGAUACUUCCAAAGGUUCUGUUAUGCAGUGAAGACAUUCAGAUUAUUUGUAAGAAUUUCACCAACACCCUUGUGUAUUGAAGUGCUUAACCAUUAACAGAAAAAAAGGAGAAAACCAAAACAGAGACAUUUACUUGAAAUGGAAGAUUUGCUAAUGUGAAGAGUGUUUCUAUUUUAUUACUUUUAAGAGAAAAGCAGGAAAACUUUUGCUGUGAUAAGAAAGACACCAGAGUGGUGAUUCUAUUUGAUACCACAAGCUAACACAAUCGUGUGAGUACUCAUGUUGAGUUGUAGAAAUAUGUGGCUCUAAAAACCAUUCUCUUUCCCUUACAUAUACAUAUGUGAACACUGCCUAGUAACAUUUUAAUAGGUUUAAGAUGCAUUUGUACAUUCUCAGCAAACUAGAAAAUGUUUUUUCUCUUUUUGAGUAACUUCAUAGCAUAGGGAACCAGCACUGUGCAGGUUUCAGCAUUUCAGAUAAGGACAGAAUUAAUUGUGUAACUUAGUGCCCUGUUAUUCAUUGCUGAGGUUCCUAUAUAAAGAACAGAAAAAUUGAAAGAUGGGUUUGAGCAACAUUUUCUUCACAAAAGAUCAAGGAGUAAGAACAAGUAAGGGAAGACAGCUAAGAGAACAUACUAUGACAUACAGAAUUGGGAUAAAUUUUUGUCGUGCUGGAUUUCAGGCUAUAAUUGCUAAAAUAAUUUCUAGCUAUUAAAUUUGGCGACAGGGUUUUUGACAUCAGAAUUUUUGUACUUCUGGUCAAAUUGGCCUUGGAAAUCCCUAUGGUCUCUAAUUUCAGCUCUUGCUGUAAACUGCAAGCCAAAUGCUGUUUCUCAGAAAGAGCUAUAUUUUUCUCUUCUUACAGGCAACCCAGUAUUUAUUUCAUAAAGUGUUAUAAAUAUUGAGAGGAUACACUGGGGAGAUAGAAUAUAAAAGUGAUGCUCCAAAAUGAGAAUUCUCUGUAAUGGGGUUUUCCCUAAGAAGAAUCCAUCCCAGCACCUAUUUUGAAAAGGUGCUGAAUUAAAAAGUACAAGAGUUUGCUCAUAUAAAUCAAGUUGCUCAGGAAAUCUGAGGUGAUGCUGUCAUUUGUCUCAUAAUUUAGAAAAGUGAUCUCUUGAGAGAGAGACUACACGUUGCCUGGGCACUUUCAGAUUCUUUAGUAAGUGCCACUUUGAUAUUUGGAAUGUGGAUAUGUUUAUAAAACAAAUGGAUCGUUAUUCCAAAUGCUCAUGGAUUUAUAACCAAGCCCCAGAAGAAUAUGCAGCUUUGAAAUAGUUAUUUCGUGGAAUUGAACAGAACCUUGAUGGAAUAUAGUUGCCUGUGUGAGGACAGAAAACAAAGAGACUGCCUCAAACUACAUGCCUAUCUAGACAUUAAGUGAAACUGUGAGGGACAUUUUGUGGAUGCCUUAAAGGUGACCAGUGGUGGGUUCUGAUGGGAAUAUACACACCCAUCUGGACUAGGCCAAUGGAAGCAGAGUCUCUUUCAGUUCACCUCCAUACAGCAGAAGUUGUUCCUGCUCAUGACCUCAUUGAGGAAAAUGAGAAUUGUGGUGCUGGUGACUUCCUGUGUCUUGGGAGGUUCAGGUGUUCAAAUCGUUAAGGCAUUCUCAAAACACAAACCUCCUCUUUUAAAUGCCAAUUGUACAUCUACAUUAAUUCAUCUAUGCAAGCUUGUGUUUUCAUGGUUUGUUUUUUACACCAUAUUUCUCAUUGGGUUCUUUAAACAUCAAGUUUAAUAUUGAUAUUAUGAAUAAUUUUUAAACCAAAGUAUUCUCUAAGUCUUUGUGCUUUGUUUUCCUGGAUGGUUUGACCAAGGUAAAUAUCAAUCUUGUCCUUCUCUCUUAAUAAAGUCAUCCAUUUGUUAA